GGGAGUUUGGCCGAGUGGUUAAGGCGUCGUGUUUAGGUUUAUUGGGCAUCUGGCUCGGUAUACCAUAAAUCCCGCGAUGGGAAACCGCGCAGGUUCGAAUCCUGCAGCUCUCA